rnacentral:rRNA from 1 species
GAUGAACGCUGGCGGCGUGCCUAAUACAUGCAAGUCGAGCGAACAGACGAGGAUCUUGCUCCUCUGACGUUAGCGGCGGACGGGUGAGUAACACGUGGAUAACCUACCUAUAAGACUGGGAUAACUUCGGGAAACCGGAGCUAAUACCGGAUAAUAUAUUGCACCGCAUGGUUCAAUAGUGAAAGACGGUUUUGCUGUCACUUAUCGAUGGAUCCGCGCCGCAUUAGCUAGUUGGUAAGUUAACGGCUUAUCAAGGCAACGAUGCGUAGCCGACCUGAGAGGGUGAUCGGCCACACUGGAACUGAGACACGGUCCAGAGUCCUACGGGAGGCAGCAGUAGGGAAUCUGCCGCAAUGGGCGAAAGCCUGACGGAGCAACGCCGCGUGAGUGAUGAAGGUCUUCGGAUCGUAAAACUCUGUUAUUAGGGAAGAACAAAUGUGGAAGUAACUAUGCACGUCUUGACGGUACCUAAUCAGAAAGCCACGGCUAACUACGUG